ensembl:lncRNA
CUCGCCGCAGUGGUGUCGCCCGCAGCGCGUCGGCCCGCCCGGACCCACCCCAGAGGGCGCUGCGGGGUUCUGCCUCCAGUGGCAGGAGGUAGAGAUCACUGGAGCCCGAGUCCUACGUCUCGCUGGCUCAUCCUGUUUCACUAGCCCAGACUCUUCCUUUCAGACCUUGUGGUCUGGAUAAUUUGACGACAGAGCUGCUGGGAGCCAGAGAGGAAAUCUCGCCUCAGGAAACGAAAGGAAGUCUGAGCCACGCUUCGCAGAGCUGGACGGGAACCUGAGGGCUCCGGGCAGCAGGUUUUACAGAUGGUAACAGAAGCCAGCAGGGUGAGCAGCCGGCCUCCACGCAGACCCUGGGUGCCAGGCCGGCCGUCAUGAAAGGGUGCUGUGCGCGGCAGGAAAGGAUGGCGACUCCACCACGGCUGGCAUCAGAGGAGGAGAGGCCUGGGGCCGAUGUGUGAAGGGGCUGCCAAGCAUGGAUGGGGCACGCGGCCAGGCAGCUGUGCACGCAGGGUCCAGGCGGAAGGGCAGAUCCCCUGCUCGGGCGCUGAGGGCGACGUGGUGUCCGGGAGGCCCGAGCGGCCAGGGCAGCGCCCAGAGCUGGACCCAGGGCGCUGGCUUCCUGUCCCUCGUGACGUGACCUCCAGGCAAGUGCUCUCCCACUGUGCAGGAGGGAAGCACUGUCAGCCCUGCCUCCUUCCCACCAGGCUGUUCCCAAGGUCUGGGGACCUCCAGUGCGACUCUGGUAGGCAUGAGAAGCUGCUGCUCUGUGGAGUCCAGUGCUGCCAGGCGGCCUUGACAGGGCGGCUCCAGAGCGGGGGACGCCAGAACUGAGCCGCGUCCAUCCUGCCUGCACUGUGCAGGUUUCAGGGUGGCGGCAUGUGAGCGUCUCUCUCUCUCUCUCUCUCUCUCUCUCUCUCUCCCCCACACGCACACACGCACUCACCCCUAGUAAGAUAAAAACAAGGUGACAUCGAGGACAAAAACCACAAUGCGUCCCAUCUGCUUUGUUGGAGCUGACUUACAAGUUCGAUUUUGAAUUUCUUAAUACUCAAGUUAAAGAGGAAAAGUAAAAUAACAAGACAUAUGCCAACCCACAAGAUCAUGGCUCCCUAUGAGGCCACCACUCGGUCGGCAGGGACACAGGAGGGUGGUCAGGGUGGCCAGGAGGACGCCUGGGCCUCGGCUCGGGCCUGAGGGAGGGUCUGGCCAGCGCACGUGGCAGACCUUCUCCAAUGACCAGGGGACGUGCUUGGCCAGUUUUUCGUGGUAUUAGGGACUGAGCACAGGGACUCGAAAAUGUUAGGCAAGCACUUCGCCAGAGUUAUAUCCCUACCCUAGCGGUAUAUUCAUCGUUUAGUUUGGGGCUUUGGAGACACAGUCUGACUGUUGCCCAGUGGCCAGCCUGGCCCAGAACUUGCUGUCCUCCUGCCUUGACCCGAGUAGCUGGGCGCAGGCCACCUUCCUGCCUCAAGUGGCUGGUGGGGGUCCUCCAGUGGCCCCGAGCCCCAGCUGGCGGUCCUCAUUGGCUCUCCACAGCGCUCAGGCGACGCUCCUGGCCCAGAAAAUCAGCAAGAGGCCCCUCAGGCCCUGUGCCUCGCCUCGCCUCCUGUAAUCAGUAUGCCUCAGACCCGAAGCAGCAGGGAGACGGGGCCAGCUGCAGAGCCCUCUGUGCUGAGUACAGCCCGGCCUGCCACAGGGGGCCGCAGGGCUGCAGGCUGGGUUUGCUGGGCUCCUGUUUGAUCAGACAACAGAAUAAUCAGGGCCGCCUCCAGGUCCCCCUCCGCGGGCUGGGGAGCAGGACACAGGGCAACCGAAAGCAUCGCGAAAUCCGCCUGCGUGGGCCCGUGGCGGGCGGGGAGGAGCCUGUCUGGCCCUGUCGCCGCCCGGAAACGCAGACUCCUUUCCUGUAAUUGCGGUGAAACUGUCACCGAAGGUUCACUCUUCUGGCCGUUUCUGGACGCACAGCUCAGCGUCGUGAAGUAGCUCUCACUCGUGUGCAACACAAGCAAACGGGCUCCAGAGCCCCGCCCCUUCCCCAGGCGGCUCCACCGGAUAAACACCCCUCCCUCUACCUGCACCUGGAUGCCUCCUGCCUUCUCGCUAGAGCAGGACCACUCAGGACCACGUGACCCUGGACUCAGGCGGUGCCUUACUUCAUGUACCGCCCGGCCUUCACAGUUCCCUCACAGGGCAACGGGUGCCAGAAGUUCCUUCCUUUUCAGGGCCAAAUAAUAUUCCUGCCAUGUGUCUAUGCUGCCUUUUGUUUAUCCUUCGGUCUGCUCCUGCCUUUUGGCUGUUGUGAACAAUGCUGCAGUGAACACAGGGGUGCAUAAGCACCCACAAGAAUCCUGCUUUCCAUGCUUUGAGGCAUUCCCCGGGGGUGGGAUUGGUCGGUCACAUGGUAAUUGAUUUUUAAUUCUUUGAGAAGGAGACAGCACUUUUAAUUUUCUUUGGAGAAAACACAGUUUUGAAUGACUUGCUUCAUUGAUGGAGUCACUUUCCUGAGCAUCGGGACUCCCGGGUCCUGGUCCAAGUGCCCCCACUGAUUGCACCCUUUGGGAGUCGCCUGAGGCAGCAGGACGGCUGUCUCCUCCCCUGAGGGGUUUUCCUCCGCACUUCGGGGAACUGAGCCCGGGCCCUUUGCAGGGCAAGUGCCCUACCGCCGAGCGCACCCAGCUGUGAAGAUCUGUGUGCCAUGCACAGGUGUCUCUGCCCUGUCUGCAGGGGCGUCUGGGUCCUGGAAGUGCUGGGGAGAAUGCUGGUUCCUGUCAGUUUGGCAUAGUUUUCACUUUGUGUUCACUGACAAAAGAAAACCGAAAUGAGAGCGAGCAGAGAGAACCGGGGUUAAAGAGGGCCUUAGUCUGGCCAGGAUACCUGAAAUGGGCAGUUUGUCACAAGCAGAGUCGGGCUGAAAGCUGAAGAAUCACAGUUUGUAAUGUACUUGGUAUGUUUAUAGUGUACAGAAAAAUGAAGUAGUUCUUCAAAAAAGACGCCAAAGAACAGUGUUUCUGGUUUGAACAUUAUUCCUAUUAGUCCACUAGUCCUUGCAAGAGCUGCAACAUUGACAGUAAAUCAAGCGUAUUUUAAUUUACCAUGAGGCAGUGAAGAGAAAAUUUCCCCAACUGGUCCUCUGCCAAAGCAUUUCUAUGACCUCUCCACGACCAAACAGCUUCCAACUAUGGAACGGGCUCAGCCCGGGAGACGUCCACUGGGGCUGCUGGUGCGGCCUCGCUGCACUAGGGCCCGGGUGUGGGACAAGGGGGCGAUCUGGCCUUUUAGGAAUGAGGGGCCACAGCAGGCCUGUCACCCACGUGCACGGAUUGUCGGCAAGGACGUGUGGCAGGGACACUGUCUGGGAGAGCACACCAGCCCACUGUGCCCUCCCGCCCCACCUCCUGUGCCCAUGAGACACCCACUGGGACCUCAGGUGACAGUGGGUCACGUGUCCUGCUGCAACGCAUAGCACUCUAAAUUCUGAAAAUGUAAAUAUAUGGUGCUUCCCGCAAAGUGCGUUGAAAUAGUCGCCAACGUUCAAUUGAGCCUCUCUCUCUUUUUGGUCCCAGGAAUCGAACUCAGGGCCUGGCACUUGCUAGGCAGGUGCUGGGCUGCUGAACUACAUUCCCA